UCAGGAUAAACGCUGGCGGCGUGCUAACACAUGCAAGUCGAACGGAGUGGUCUCCCGAGGAUGACGGUGCUUGCACCAGAUGACUCAUUGAAUCACUUAGUGGCGGACGGGUGAGUAACGCGUGGGAAACCUGCCCUAUACUGGGGGAUAGCAGUUGGAAACGACUGAUAAUACCGCAUAAGCGCACAGCUUCGCAUGAAGCAGUGUGAAAAACUCCGGUGGUAUAGGAUGGUCCCGCGUCUGAUUAGCUAGUUGGUGAGGUAACGGCCCACCAAGGCGACGAUCAGUAGCCGGCCUGAGAGGGUGUACGGCCACAUUGGGACUGAGACACGGCCCAAACUCCUACGGGAGGCAGCAGUGGGGAAUAUUGGACAAUGGGGGAAACCCUGAUCCAAGCGACGCCGCGUGAACGAUGAAGUAUUUCGGUAUGUAAAGUUCUAUCAGCAGGGAAGAUAAUGACGGUACCUGACUAAGAAGCACCGGCUAAAUACGUGCCAGCCGCCGC
rnacentral:rRNA from 1 species